GCCCCAAGCGUUAUCCGGAAUUAUUGGGCGUAAAGGGCUCGUAGGCGGCUUGGCAAGUUGAUGGUGAAAUCCCUCGGCUUAACCGAGGAACUGCCGUCCAAACUGCUUCGCUUGAGACCGGGAGAGGUGAGUGGAAUUCCCAGUGUAGCGGUGAAAUGCGUAGAUAUUGGGAGGAACACCAGUGGCGAAGGCGGCUCACUGGACCGGUACUGACGCUGAUGCGCGAAAGCGUGGGGAGCAAACGGG
rnacentral:rRNA from 1 species